rnacentral:rRNA from 1 species
UACGUAGGAUGCAAGCGUUGUCCGGAAUUACUGGGCGUAAAGGGCGCGUAGGCGGCGCGGUAAGUCACUUGUGAAAUCUCUGAGCUUAACUCAGAACGGCCAAGUGAUACUGCAGUGCUAGAGUGCAGAAGGGGCAAUCGGAAUUCUUGGUGUAGCGGUGAAAUGCGUAGAUAUCAAGAGGAACACCUGAGGUGAAGACGGGUUGCUGGGCUGACACUGACGCUGAGUGCGCGAAAGCCAGGGGAGCAAACGGG